GGGGCCCUACGGGACGCAGCAGUAGGGAAUCUUCCACAAUGGACGAAAGUCUGAUGGAGCAACGCCGCGUGAGUGAAGAAGGGUUUCGGCUCGUAAAACUCUGGUGGUAGUGAAGAAAGAUAGAGGUAGGAACUGGCCUUUAUUUGACGGUAAUUACUUAGAAAGUCACGGCUAACUACGUGCCAGCAGCCGCGGUAAUACGGAGGUGGCAAGCGUUGUCCGGAUUUAUUGGG
rnacentral:rRNA from 1 species